UACGGAGGGUGCGAGCGUUGUCCGGAAUCACUGGGCGUAAAGGGCGCGUAGGCGGCUCAUGAAGGCUGUGGUGAAAGUCCGGGGCUCAACCUCGGAUCGGCCGUGGCGACUCGUGGGCUGGAGCACUGUAGAGGCGGGUGGAAUUCCGGGUGUAGCGGUGGAAUGCGUAGAGAUCCGGAAGAACACCAGUGGCGAAGGCGGCCCGCUGGCAGUGGCUGACGCUGAAGCGCGACAGCGUGGGGAGCAAACGAGG
rnacentral:rRNA from 1 species